rnacentral:tRNA from 1 species
GUGGUUGUGGCUCAGUUGUACAGCGCUUGCCUAGCAUGUGUGAGACACUGGGUUUGAUUCUCAGCACCACA